GACGAACGCUGGCGGCGUGCCUAAUACAUGCAAGUCGAACGCAGUGGGGACGGGUGAGUAACACGUGGGUAACCUCCCAUCAGAGGGGAUAACACUUGGAAACAGGUGCUAAACCGAUACUGAUGGAUGGACCGGCGGGGCAUUAGCUAGUUGGUGGGGCAACGGCUCACCAAGGCCACGAUGCAUAGCCGACCUGAGAGGAUGAUCAGUCACACUGGGACUGAGACACGGCCCAGACGCCUACGGGAGGCAGCAGUUGGGAAUCUUCGACAAUGGACGAAAGCCUGACCGAGCCAUGCCGCGUGAGUGAAGAAGGUUUUCGGAUCGUAAAACUCUGUUGUUAGAGAAGCGGUAUCUACCCAGAAAGCCACGGCUAACUACGUGCCAGCAGCCGCGGUAAUUC
rnacentral:rRNA from 1 species